rnacentral:rRNA from 1 species
GACGAACGCUGGCGGCGUGCUUAACACAUGCAAGUCGAACGAUGAAGCUGGAGCUUGCUCCGGUGGAUUAGUGGCGAACGGGUGAGUAACACGUGAGCAAUCUGCCCUUGACUCUGGGAUAACUGCGGGAAACUGUAGCUAAUACCGGAUACUUUCACUGGAAGGCAUCUUCUGGUGAAGAAAGAAUUUCGGUCAAGGAUGAGCUCGCGGUCUAUCAGCUUGUUGGUGAGGUAACGGCUCACCAAGGCGACGACGGGUAGCCGGCCUGAGAGGGGGACCGGCCACACUGGGACUGAGACACGGCCCAGACUCGUACGGGAGGCAGCAGUGGGGAAUAUUGCACAAUGGGCGAAAGCCUGAUGCAGCAACGCCACGUGAGGGAUGAAGGCCUUCGGGUUGUAAACCUCUUUUAGCAGGGAAGAAGCGAAAGUGACGGUACCUGCAGAAAAAGCACCGGCUAACUACGUGCCAGCCGCCGCCGUAA